rnacentral:rRNA from 1 species
CGUGUAGGCGGUCAAGUAAGUGGAAUGUGAAAUCCCUCGGCUUACCCGAGGACCUGCAUCCCAAACUGCUUGGCUUGAGUAUGGGAGAGGAUGAGGGAAUUCCUGGUGUAGCGGUGAAAUGCGUAGAUAUCAGGAGGAACACCGGUGGCGAAAGCGCUCAUCUGGCCCAAUACUGACGCUGAGGCGCGAAAGCUAGGGGAGCAAACG